CCUACGGGAGACAGCAGUGAGGAAUAUUGGUCAAUGGCCGGAAGGCUGAACCAGCCAAGCCGCGUGAAGGACGAAGGUGCCAAGCAUUGUAAACUUCUUUUGUCAAGGGACAAAAUCAGGCUCGAGAGCCUGACCGAGGGUACUUGAAGAAAAAGCAUCGGCUAACUCCGUGCCAGCAGCCGCGGUAAUACGAAGGAUGCGAGCGUAAUCCGGAUGUAUUGGGUGUAAGGGGUGCGCAGGCGGGCUGUUAAGUCAGCGGUAAAAGCCCGGGGCUCACCCCCGGCGAGCCGUUGAAACUGGCUGUCUUGAGAUGUCGAGAGGUAUGCGGAAUGCGCAGUGUAGCGGUGAAAUGCUUAGAUAUUGCGCAGAACUCCGAUUGCGAAGGCAGCAUACCGGCGGCGAUCUGACGCUGAGGCACGAAAGCGUGGGUAUCGAACAGGAUUAGAUACCCCAGUAGUC
rnacentral:rRNA from 1 species